UUUCUCUCCAUCUUCUCUUCUCACCCUCUCCACCUAACCCGCUCUCUGGAACCGUCGAACCCACUAUUGGAGACCACCGUCAAAAUCACAAUGACAAUGGCUCUCCAUGGAUUCGUGACUAUUGACGACUCGCUCAGGCUAAAGCGCUAAAUGUCAGAUUGCUGGAGAUCUGAGAUUUGAGUGCUACCAUCGCUGGAGAUUGUACUGUCGCCCGUUUCGCUGAAAGCAGGAAAGUUGCAAUGCCAGCGUCUAAGAUCAAUGAUGUCUCUACGCGCGGCUGCGACUUUCUCUCUGAUCUGUACUGUCGAUGUAGAGAUUGCAUAGCUGUCGAUGGAGAGUUUGAAAUGCUGCCGCUAGAGAACAAUGAUGGUGGUAGUUUGCUGCAUUUGGUGGUGUUUAUGGUUUUUUUAUGUUUUGGCGUUGG
rnacentral:lncRNA from 1 species